GGGUUGUGAGGUUAAGCGACUAAGCGUACACGGUGGAUGCCCUGGCAGUCAGAGGCGAUGAAGGACGUGCUAAUCUGCGAAAAGCGUCGGUAAGGUGAUAUGAACCGUUAUAACCGGCGAUGUCCGAAUGGGGAAACCCAGUGCAAUUCGUUGCACUAUCGUUAACUGAAUACAUAGGUUAACGAGGCGAACCGGGGGAACUGAAACAUCUAAGUACCCCGAGGAAAAGAAAUCAACCGAGAUUCCCCCAGUAGCGGCGAGCGAACGGGGAGCAGCCCAGAGUCUGAAUCAGCUUGUGUGUUAGUGGAACGGUCUGGAAAGUCCGACGGUACAGGGUGAUAGUCCCGUACACCAAAAUGCACAGGCUGUGAACUCGAAGAGUAGGGCGGGACACGUGGUAUCCUGUCUGAAUAUGGGGGGACCAUCCUCCAAGGCUAAAUACUCCUGACUGACCGAUAGUGAACCAGUACCGUGAGGGAAAGGCGAAAAGAACCCCGGCGAGGGGAGUGAAAAAGAACCUGAAACCGUGUACGUACAAGCAGUGGGAGCACCUUCGGGUGUGACUGCGUACCUUUUGUAUAAUGGGUCAGCGACUUAUAUUCUGUAGCAAGGUUAACCGUAUAGGGGAGCCGCAGGGAAACCGAGUCUUAACUGGGCGUUAAGUUGCAGGGUAUAGACCCGAAACCCGGUGAUCUAGCCAUGGGCAGGUUGAAGGUUGGGUAACACUAACUGGAGGACCGAACCGACUAAUGUUGAAAAAUUAGCGGAUGACUUGUGGCUGGGGGUGAAAGGCCAAUCAAACCGGGAGAUAGCUGGUUCUCCCCGAAAGCUAUUUAGGUAGCGCCUCGUGAACUCAUCUUCGGGGGUAGAGCACUGUUUCGGCUAGGGGGUCAUCCCGACUUACCAACCCGAUGCAAACUACGAAUACCGAAGAAUGUUAUCACGGGAGACACACGGCGGGUGCUAACGUCCGUCGUGAAGAGGGAAACAACCCAGACCGCCAGCUAAGGUCCCAAAGUCAUGGUUAAGUGGGAAACGAUGUGGGAAGGCACAGACAGCCAGGAUGUUGGCUUAGAAGCAGCCAUCAUUUAAAGAAAGCGUAAUAGCUCACUGGUCGAGUCGGCCUGCGCGGAAGAUGUAACGGGGCUAAACCAUGCACCGAAGCUGCGGCAGCGACACUAUGUGUUGUUGGGUAGGGGAGCGUUCUGUAAGCCUGCGAAGGUGUGCUGUGAGGCAUGCUGGAGGUAUCAGAAGUGCGAAUGCUGACAUAAGUAACGAUAAAGCGGGUGAAAAGCCCGCUCGCCGGAAGACCAAGGGUUCCUGUCCAACGUUAAUCGGGGCAGGGUGAGUCGACCCCUAAGGCGAGGCCGAAAGGCGUAGUCGAUGGGAAACAGGUUAAUAUUCCUGUACUUGGUGUUACUGCGAAGGGGGGACGGAGAAGGCUAUGUUAGCCGGGCGACGGUUGUCCCGGUUUAAGCAUGUAGGCUGGUUAUCCAGGCAAAUCCGGAUAAUCAAGGCUGAGGUGUGAUGACGAGGCACUACGGUGCUGAAGUAACAAAUGCCCUGCUUCCAGGAAAAGCCUCUAAGCAUCAGGUAACAUCAAAUCGUACCCCAAACCGACACAGGUGGUCAGGUAGAGAAUACCAAGGCGCUUGAGAGAACUCGGGUGAAGGAACUAGGCAAAAUGGUGCCGUAACUUCGGGAGAAGGCACGCUGGUGUGUAGGUGAAGCCCCUGCGGGUGGAGCUGAGACCAGUCGAAGAUACCAGCUGGCUGCAACUGUUUAUUAAAAACACAGCACUGUGCAAACACGAAAGUGGACGUAUACGGUGUGACGCCUGCCCGGUGCCGGAAGGUUAAUUGAUGGGGUUAUCCGUAAGGAGAAGCUCUUGAUCGAAGCCCCGGUAAACGGCGGCCGUAACUAUAACGGUCCUAAGGUAGCGAAAUUCCUUGUCGGGUAAGUUCCGACCUGCACGAAUGGCGUAAUGAUGGCCAGGCUGUCUCCACCCGAGACUCAGUGAAAUUGAACUCGCUGUGAAGAUGCAGUGUACCCGCGGCAAGACGGAAAGACCCCGUGAACCUUUACUAUAGCUUGACACUGAACAUUGAGCCUUGAUGUGUAGGAUAGGUGGGAGGCUUUGAAGCGUGGACGCCAGUCUGCGUGGAGCCAACCUUGAAAUACCACCCUUUAAUGUUUGAUGUUCUAACGUUGGCCCCUGACCGGGGUUGCGGACAGUGUCUGGUGGGUAGUUUGACUGGGGCGGUCUCCUCCCAAAGCGUAACGGAGGAGCACGAAGGUUAGCUAAUCCUGGUCGGACAUCAGGAGGUUAGUGCAAUGGCAUAAGCUAGCUUGACUGCGAGCGUGACGGCGCGAGCAGGUGCGAAAGCAGGUCAUAGUGAUCCGGUGGUUCUGAAUGGAAGGGCCAUCGCUCAACGGAUAAAAGGUACUCCGGGGAUAACAGGCUGAUACCGCCCAAGAGUUCAUAUCGACGGCGGUGUUUGGCACCUCGAUGUCGGCUCAUCACAUCCUGGGGCUGAAGUAGGUCCCAAGGGUAUGGCUGUUCGCCAUUUAAAGUGGUACGCGAGCUGGGUUUAGAACGUCGUGAGACAGUUCGGUCCCUAUCUGCCGUGGGCGCUGGAGAAUUGAGGGGGGCUGCUCCUAGUACGAGAGGACCGGAGUGGACGCAUCACUGGUGUUCGGGUUGUCAUGCCAAUGGCACUGCCCGGUAGCUAAAUGCGGAAGAGAUAAGUGCUGAAAGCAUCUAAGCACGAAACUUGCCCCGAGAUGAGUUCUCCCUGAGACUUUAAGUCUCCUGAAGGAACGUUGAAGACGACGACGUUGAUAGGCCGGGUGUGUAAGCGCAGCGAUGCGUUGAGCUAACCGGUACUAAUGAACCGUGAGGCUUAACCUUACAACGCCGAAG
rnacentral:rRNA from 1 species